UGUCUGUCGCCAUGGCUUCACUGAAAACGAUCGUGACGCUCCUUUGCCUCGGCCUCGUUCUUGCAGAAGAGGAAGUCCGGGAAAAGCGUGGAUUUAUCGGCGGUCAUGGCGGCGGCUACGGAGGAGGCCACGGCGCAGGCGUGGGCGGAGGCUACAGUAGUGGCGGCGGAGGCUACCUGAU